rnacentral:lncRNA from 1 species
GGGUCAAACAUUAGCUCCAAUAAUUGUUCAAAAUAUAAGACAGCUACAUUCAAAUAGAAACUAAAUAACAACUAAAACAUCCAAUGGAACAUAAUUUCACUCUUCAUCACUAAAUGUUUCCUCAUAAACAUGGCUUCAUCCAAAACAAAACCUCAUACCAUUACAAUUUGCCUUUUAAGCAGAAGCUGCUGCAACCUUCUUUCUUGGUGCUGCUUCAGUACCUAUACAUCACCCCCAAUAAAAAAUAAGAACAUUUUGAAAGAAAAAAAAACCCAAAAUUUCUUACAAGAGCAGAAAUACCCAAUGGAACUAAAAUCAGAAUGCAAUGAGCCUAAGGACAUUAGCAUUUUCCUACCUUCCCUGAAACUUGUCUUGAACC